AAAAGGCAAAGCUAAAAAUAGUACAUACUGUAUGAUUCCAACUAUAACAUUCUGGAAAAGGCAAAACCAUGGAGACAAUAGAAAGAUCAGUGGUCCCCAGGGGUUAAGGGGAAGGGAGG